AGUAAAGAAGCUUUUAGAAGCACUGGUCUUGUAAACCAAAGAAAUUUAAUAAUCUUACUU
rnacentral:tRNA from 1 species